rnacentral:rRNA from 1 species
AUUGAACGCUGGCGGCAUGCCUUACACAUGCAAGUCGAACGGUAACAGGUCAAGCUGACGAGUGGCGAACGGGUGAGUAAUAUAUCGGAACGUGCCCAGUCGUGGGGGAUAACGUAGCGAAAGCUGCGCUAAUACCGCAUACGAUCUCUGGAUGAAAGCGGGGGACUCGCAAGAGCCUCGCGCGAUUGGAGCGGCCGAUAUCAGAUUAGGUAGUUGGUGGGGUAAAAGCCCACCAAGCCGACGAUCUGUAGCUGGUCUGAGAGGACGACCAGCCACAAUGGGACUGAGACACGGCACAGACUGCUACGGGAGGCAGCAGUGGGGAAUUUUGGACAAUGGGCGAAAGCCUGAUCCAGCCAUGCCGCGUGCAGGACGAAGGCCUUCGGGUUGUAAACUGCUUUUGUACGGAACGAAACGGCUCUCUCUAAUACGGGGGGCUAAUGACGGUACCGUAAGAAUAAGCACCGGCUAACUACGUGCCAGCCGCCGCGGUAA